rnacentral:rRNA from 1 species
AUGUUUGGGGACUGCCAGGUUCUCUCGUCCAUGGCGGCCAUGGCCGCGGGCGGCUCCUCCGCCGAUGCGCUCUUCGCCUCGCCGCUCAUGCCCAACCCGGGCGCGCUCGCCGGCUUCAUGUCUAACUCUUCCGCCAUGCCCUUUCAUCACCACUUCUCCACCAACUUGAUACCCAAAGAGGAGGGCGUCAUGGGCGGGCUUCACAUGGCAAAGGACGAGGAGUUGGACCUAGACAUGGAGAUGGAGCUCAGCGGCGGCUCCGGCAGCGGCCACCUGGACGGUCUGCUCAGCUUCGUCGACGUCGACGACGACAGGGACCAGAAGCCGCAGCACAGCGAGCCGGACGGUGCAGGCGCCGAGCACCACCCCUCCUCGUCGGCGGCCGCGGCGGCGUCGAACGGCAACGGGAAGAAGAAGCGCUACCAUCGCCACACUGCGCACCAGAUCCAGCAGAUGGAGGCGCUGUUCAAGGAGUGCCCGCACCCGGACGACAAGCAGCGGCUGAAGCUGAGCCAGGAGCUGGGGCUGAAGCCCCGGCAGGUCAAGUUCUGGUUCCAGAACCGGCGCACGCAGAUGAAGGCGCAGCAGGACCGCGCCGACAACGUCAUCCUCCGCGCCGAGAAUGAGUCACUCAAGACAGACAACUACCGCCUCCAGGCUGCCAUCCGCAACGUCGUCUGCCCCAGCUGCGGCCACGCCGCCGUCAUUGGUGAUAUGUCCUACGAGGAGCAGAACCUCCGCAUCGAGAACGCACGCCUCAAAGACGAGCUGGACCGCUUGGCGUGCAUCGCCAGCAGGUACGGUGGCGGGCGCCAGCCUGGCAUGUCGUCGGCUUCAGCGCUGAGCUGCAUGUCGGCGCCGCCGCCGGUGCUCAUGCCGCCCCUGGACCUCGACAUGAACGUGUACUCCCGGCACUUCGCCGACUGCGCCGAGCAGCAGCACGGCGCCAUGGACCUCAUGGCCUUGCCGCAACAGAUGGCCAGCGGCGGGCACGGCAUCGCGGCGACGGCGUCAUACUUGCAGGGCCCAAUGACGCCCGUUGUCGUCCAGGAGCAGGACAAACAGCUGGUGAUGGAGCUCGCAUCAACGGCCGCCGACCACCUCAUCAAGAUGUGUCGCACCAGCGAGCAGCUCUGGGCGCGCCGCCGCGGCGCCGGUCCCUCGUCCGGCGAGGUCAUGGACGCCGAGGAGCAUGCGCGGAUGCUCAGCUGGCCCAUCGACUCCGGGAAGCAGCAACAGGCUGACGUCGCCCACGCGGCCAGGACUGAAGGGACGCGCGACAGUGCCGUCGUCAUCAUGAACAGCAUCACAUUGGUCGACGCCUUCCUCGACGCGAACAAGUGGAUGGAGCUGUUCCCUUCGAUCGUGUGCAAGGCAAGGACCAUUCAGGUCAUACACCAUGGCGCUGCUUCUGGCCAUCUCAGCAGUGGAUCUCUCAUCUUGAUGCAAGCGGAGAUGCAGUUCCUGUCUCCUCUAGUGCCGGUGCGAGAGGUGGUCUUCUUCCGGUACUGCGUGCACAACGCCGACGAGGGCACCUGGUCCAUCGUCGACUUCCCAGCGGACGGCUUCCAGGAGGAGCUUCUGCAGCAGCAGCAGCAGCAGCAGCAGCAGACCAGCUCGCUGGUCCGGUGCCGCCGGCGGCCCUCCGGCUGCAUCAUCCAGGACGCCCCCAAUGGCUACUCCAGGGUGGUGUGGGUGGAGCACAUGGAGGUGGUGGGGGAGGAGAAGCCCCUGCAGCCGGUUUUCAAGGACCACGUCGCCGGCGGCGCCGCGUUCGGGGCCACCAGGUGGGUCUCCGUCCUCCAGCGCCAGUGCGAGCGCCUCGCCAGCGAGCUCGCCCGCAGCAUCGCUGACCAAGGAGUUAUCCGCACCCCUGAGGCGAGGACAAAUAUGAUGAAGCUGUCUCAAAGGAUGAUCACCGCCUUCUGUGCUAACAUAAGUGCAUCUGGGAGCCAGUCUUGGACGGCGCUAUCUGAUUCUACUGAAGACACAGUCCGGAUUACAACAAGGAAGAAUACUGAGCCAGGGCAGCCCAGCGGUGUCAUCCUCACUGCGGUCUCCACAAGCUGGCUUCCUUUCAGCCAUCAACAGGUGUUUGAGCUUCUUGCAGACGAGCAACAGCGCUGUCAGCUUGAGAUUUUGUCAACUGGGGGCUCACUUCAUGAGGUGGCACAUAUUGCAAAUGGAUCACACCCAAGGAACUGCAUUUCUCUUCUUCGCAUAAAUUCUGCAAGCAACUCAUCACAGAAUGUGGAGCUCCUGCUGCAGGAGAGCAGCAUCCACCCUGAUGGUGGAAGCCUGGUGGUAUUUGCAACCGUGGAUGUGGAUGCCAUCCAGGUCACAAUGAGCGGGGAGGAUCCUUCCUACAUCCCUCUACUCCCCAUGGGCUUCGCCAUCUUCCCAGCCACCAGCCCUUCGCCUGGAGCCACCAGCUCAGACACCACCAGCAACGGCGAAACUAGUCCUGGCAAUGCAGAUGAGCCCGCCGCCGGCUGCCUCCUCACCGUCGGCAUGCAGGUGCUGGCCAGCGCCGUGCCUUCAGCCAAGCUCAACCUCUCAAGCGUCACUGCAAUCAACAGCCACAUCUGCAACACCAUUCACCAGAUUACAACAGCACUCAAGGGUGCCGGAGGUGGCCGGACUGAGCCGGCGCCUGCAGGUUCCGACCAGUAG